rnacentral:ncRNA from 2 species
AGACUUUGAGGCUGUUUUGGUGCUCGCGCGCGAGCCUCUAUCGCGCGCAGUUAAACGGGAAGCAGAAAACGCAUCGUUUCGAUGAAACGGUUGAAACGGCGUUUAGCUGCGCUGCCCCCGCAACGAUGUACGAUCUGCCGCUUUCAACAGAAAUCGGCAAGCAGGUUCCAAGGCCACUGCGCUUAUCGGCGUGGGAAGGCGAACCGGCUCGAUCGUCAGCUCGGAUACCGGCCAGACUUUUAGCGGGAUC